UACGUAGGUGGCAAGCGUUGUCCGGAAUUAUUGGGCGUAAAGCGCGCGCAGGCGGUCUUUUAAGUCUGAUGUGAAAGCCCCCGGCUCAACCGGGGAGGGUCAUUGGAAACUGGGAGACUUGAGUGCAGAAGAGGAGAGUGGAAUUCCACGUGUAGCGGUGAAAUGCGUAGAUAUGUGGAGGAACACCAGUGGCGAAGGCGACUCUCUGGUCUGUAACUGACGCUGUGGCGCGAAAGCGUGGGGAGCAAACAGG
rnacentral:rRNA from 1 species